UUCGGGAAACCGGAGCUAAUACCGGAUAAUAUAUUGAACCGCAUGGUUCAAUAGUGAAAGACGGUUUUGCUGUCACUUAUAGAUGGAUCCGCGCCGCAUUAGCUAGUUGGUAAGGUAACGGCUUACCAUGGCGACGAUGCGUAGCCGACCUGAGAGGGUGAUCGGCCACACUGGAACUGAGACGCGGUCCAG
rnacentral:rRNA from 1 species